rnacentral:rRNA from 1 species
AGAACGUCGUGAGACAGUUCGGUCCCUAUCCGUCGCAGGCGUAGGAAAUUUGAGAAGACCUGUCCUUAGUACGAGAGGACCGGGAUGGACGUACCUCUGGUGUACCAGUUGUCCUGCCAAGGGCAUGGCUGGGGAGCUAUGUACGGAAUGGAUAAGCGCUGAAAGCAUCUAAGCGCGAAGCCAACUUCAAGAUAAGAUUUCCCACCGCAAGGGUAAGACUCCAGAAAGACUAUCUGGUUGAUAGGUCGAAGGUGUAAGUGCAGCAAUGUAUUUAGCUUAUCGAUACUAAUAGGUCGAGGACUUGACCAAU